CUUUUAUUUAACACUCAUUGAAAUUUUUUUUCCGAUUAUUUUAGAAUAUUAUAAUAGGUUAUUGUUCUCCAAGGGUCGCAGUAAUAUACCCAGCUUUGAGGUUAGAAAGGUAAUGGUUUUUUUUUCUUAAACAAAGGCAACGCUAAUCUGUUUUCAAGGGGAAAAACUAUCGCUUUCUUGCCUGAAAAUAGAGGAAAAAAAGUCAAUUGUCAGCGACAACAUGAGAAAAAAUUUAUUUUCCUCCCUAGAAAUCAUUUCAAGGUCCAGAAAAGAUGUUCUUCAACUCCAAAAUCCUGUGAGAAAAAAAUAAAAAGCACAUUGUCAACCCUCUUGACUUUUACAAAAAAAAAGAAACCUGAUCAAAAAGAACAAAAAAACAAAUUCCUGUGGGAGGAUACCUUUAAACUACAAUAAAUAAUGCAUCCUGAUUGUUUUUUUAUGGCCUCAAUUACAAGAUGUUCUAUAGCUGGUAGACGUGUUUUUGGGUGUCAGGAGGAUGGGGUACAUUUGGAUGAAAAAGACGAGCGAAUACAGCAAUAAAUGUACAAAGGAACGAGGAACACGUCUUCAUUGUGGGAUAGCUUGUUGAUAUGUUGGACUUUUGAGGGGAUUGAUGAUGUUGGAAAUCAACGAUGUACAGAAAGGAUCGUCGUGUGGGUUCGAGCGUGCCGGACAUAACACUGCGUCUUCCGAUUGUUGGUUUUGCCAGUCAAGUUUUUCGCAUCUUUCUGUGGCGGCGACUUGGACCCCAAGGUGCAUUACACGCAAUUAGACGCCAGGGUGGCCCCAAGGUAUGCCCGACAAACGGAUCUCCCUUCAUUUCUUCUCUCCUCUUGUUUCCUUCAUUCACCUCCCAGUCGAACAAUUGUUCAUCGCUUAUUUUCUUUAAAAGCAAUAAUGAGAACAAAUUUGC